AUGCUGGAGGUAUCAGAAGUGCGAAUGCUGACAUAAGUAACGAUAAAGCGGGUGAAAAGCCCGCUCGCCGGAAGACCAAGGGUUCCUGUCCAACGUUAAUCGGGGCAGGGUGAGUCGACCCCUAAGGCGAGGCCGAAAGGCGUAGUCGAUGGGAAACAGGUUAAUAUUCCUGUACUUGGUGUUACUGCGAAGGGGGGACGGAGAAGGCUAUGUUGGCCGGGCGACGGUUGUCCCGGUUUAAGCGUGUAGGCUGGUUUUCCAGGCAAAUCCGGAAAAUCAAGGCUGAGGCGUGAUGACGAGGCACUACGGUGCUGAAGCAACAAAUGCCCUGCUUCCAGGAAAAGCCUCUAAGCAUCAGGUAACAUCAAAUCGUACCCCAAACCGACACAGGUGGUCAGGUAGAGAAUACCAAGGCGCUUGAGAGAACUCGGGUGAAGGAACUAGGCAAAAUGGUGCCGUAACUUCGGGAGAAGGCACGCUGAUAUGUAGGUGAGGUCCCUCGCGGAUGGAGCUGAAAUCAGUCGAAGAUACCAGCUGGCUGCAACUGUUUAUUAAAAACACAGCACUGUGCAAACACGAAAGUGGACGUAUACGGUGUGACGCCUGCCCGGUGCCGGAAGGUUAAUUGAUGGGGUUAGCGCAAGCGAAGCUCUUGAUCGAAGCCCCGGUAAACGGCGGCCGUAACUAUAACGGUCCUAAGGUAGCGAAAUUCCUUGUCGGGUAAGUUCCGACCUGCACGAAUGGCGUAAUGAUGGCCAGGCUGUCUCCACCCGAGACUCAGUGAAAUUGAACUCGCUGUGAAGAUGCAGUGUACCCGCGGCAAGACGGAAAGACCCCGUGAACCUUUACUAUAGCUUGACACUGAACAUUGAGCCUUGAUGUGUAGGAUAGGUGGGAGGCUUGGAAGUGUGGACGCCAGUCUGCAUGGAGCCGACCUUGAAAUACCACCCUUUAAUGUUUGAUGUUCUAACGUUGACCCGUAAUCCGGGUUGCGGACAGUGUCUGGUGGGUAGUUUGACUGGGGCGGUCUCCUCCUAAAGAGUAACGGAGGAGCACGAAGGUUGGCUAAUCCUGGUCGGACAUCAGGAGGUUAGUGCAAUGGCAUAAGCCAGCUUGACUGCGAGCGUGACGGCGCGAGCAGGUGCGAAAGCAGGUCAUAGUGAUCCGGUGGUUCUGAAUGGAAGGGCCAUCGCUCAACGGAUAAAAGGUACUCCGGGGAUAACAGGCUGAUACCGCCCAAGAGUUCAUAUCGACGGCGGUGUUUGGCACCUCGAUGUCGGCUCAUCACAUCCUGGGGCUGAAGUAGGUCCCAAGGGUAUGGCUGUUCGCCAUUUAAAGUGGUACGCGAGCUGGGUUUAGAACGUCGUGAGACAGUUCGGUCCCUAUCUGCCGUGGGCGCUGGAGAACUGAGGGGGGCUGCUCCUAGUACGAGAGGACCGGAGUGGACGCAUCACUGGUGUUCGGGUUGUCAUGCCAAUGGCACUGCCCGGUAGCUAAAUGCGGAAGAGAUAAGUGCUGAAAGCAUCUAAGCACGAAACUUGCCCCGAGAUGAGUUCUCCCUGACUCCUUGAGAGUCCUGAAGGAACGUUGAAGACGACGACGUUGAUAGGCCGGGUGUGUAAGCGCAGCGAUGCGUUGAGCUAACCGGUACUAAUGAACCGUGAGGCUUAA
rnacentral:rRNA from 1 species